rnacentral:rRNA from 1 species
UGUGCCUACGGGGGGCAGCAGUGGGGAAUAUUGCACAAUGGGGGAAACCCUGAUGCAGCGACGCCGCGUGAGUGAAGAAGUAUUUCGGUAUGUAAAGCUCUAUCAGCAGGAACGAGACAAGACGGUACCUGACUAAGAAGCCCCGGCUAACUACGUGCCAGCAGCCGCGGUAAUACGUAGGGGGCAAGCGUUAUCCGGAUUUACUGGGUGUAAAGGGAGCGCAGACGGCAGUGCAAGUCUGGAGUGAAAGCCCGGGGCCCAACCCCGGAACUGCUCUGGAAACUGUGCGGCUAGAGUACUGGAGG